UCGAGGAUCUUUGUCAAUGGGCGCAAGCCUGAACAAGCGACGCCGCGUGAGCGAUGAAGGCCUUCGGGUCGUAAAGCUCUUUCAGCAGGGAAGAAUAAAUUGACGGUACCUGCAGAAGAAGCCCCGGCUAAUUACGUGCCAGCAGCCGCGGUAAUACGUAAGGGGCGAGCGUUGUUCGGAUUUACUGGGCGUAAAGGGUGCCUAGGCGGCAUGUUAAGUCGGAAGUGAAAUCCUUCGGUCCAACUGAGGAACUGCUUUCGAAACUGGCGUGCUUGAGUACGGGAGAGGAGAGCGGAAUUCUCGGUGUAGCGGUGGAAUGCGUAGAUAUCGAGAAGAACACUUGUGGCGAAGGCGGCUCUCUGGAACGAUACUGACGCUGAAGCACGAAAGCCAGGGGAGCAAACGGGAUUAGAUACCCCGGUAGUCCUGCCCCUAAACGAUGUACACUUGGUGUAGGAGGUAUCGACCCCUCCUGUGCCGAAGCUAACGCAUUAAGUGUACCGCCUGGGGAGUACAGUCGCAAGGCUG
rnacentral:rRNA from 1 species